GCAAGAUACCACGGGCGCACGGCGGAUGCCUUGGCACAGGGAGCCGAUGAAGGACGCGGCAAGCUGCGAUAAUCCCCGGCGAGGAGCACACAUCCUUCGACCCGGGGGUCUCCGAAUGGGCGAACCCAUCCACAGAGGUGUGGAUAUCCCGGCCCCGAACACAUAGGGGCCGGGAGGACAACCCGGGGAACUGAAACAUCUAAGUACCCGGAGGAGAGGAAAUCAAUCUCGAGACUCCCCGAGUAGCGGCGAGCGAAAGGGGACCGAUGGCCAAACCGUCGAGCGGGCAUACCCGGCAGGGGUUCCGCCGACGGGGUUGCAGGGCCGCGCAUCCGGGGGCUGCCGCCCCCGGGCGCAGGUCCGGCUGGGGAGCGGAACGGCAUGGGAGGGCCGGCCGCAGCGGGUGACAGCCCCGUACGCGAACCCAGACCGGACGGCGCGACGCGGUCCCUGAGUAGGGCCGGGCACGUGAAACCCGGUCCGAACCUGGGUGGACCACCAUCCAAGCCUGAGUACUACCCUGUGACCGAUAGCGCACCAGUACCGUGAGGGAAAGGUGAAAAGCACCCCGGGAGGGGAGUGAAACAGUACCUGAAACCGUGCGCCCACGAGCAGUCGGAGCACCCUUGUGGUGUGACGGCGUGCCUUUUGUAGAAUGAGCCAGCGAGUCGCUGGCGCGGGGCGAGGUUAACCGAAAGGGAGCCGGAGCGAAAGCGAGCCUUAACAGGGCGACUUGAGUCCCGCGCCGCGGACGCGAAGCCGGGUGAGCUAUCCGUGGGCAGGCUGAAGCGGGGGUAAGACCCCGUGGAGGGCCGAACGCACGUCGGUUGAAAACGGCGGCGAUGACCUGCGGAUAGGGGUGAAAGGCCAAUCAAACCCGGAGAUAUCUCGUUCUCCCCGAAAUAGCUUUAGGGCUAGCGUCGCGCGUUCACCGCCGGAGGUAGAGCACCGGAUGGACGAGGGGGCUUCGCCGCCUACCGAAUCCAACCGAACUCCGAAUGCCGGCGGCCCAGAGCGCGGCAGUCAGAGCAUGUGGGCUAAGCUGUGUGCUCGAGAGGGAAACAGCCCGGACCGCCCGCUAAGGUCCCCAAGUUCCAGCCGAGUGGCAAAGGAUGUGCGUCCGCCCAGACAACCAGGAUGUUGGCUUAGAAGCAGCCAUGCAUUCAAAGAGUGCGUAACAGCUCACUGGUCGAGUGGACAUGCGCCGACAAUACACGGGGCUAAGCUGGACACCGAAGCGGCGGGAUUUUAUCUAUAUAGAAUCGGUAGGGGAGCUUCCCAUGGGCGGCGAAGCCGCCGGGCGACCGGCGGUGGAGCGCAUGGGAGUGAGAAUGCUGGCAUGAGUAGCGAGAGACGAGAGAGUAACUCGUCCGCCGUGAACCCGAGGUUUCCUGGGCAAGGCUAAUCCUCCCAGGGUCAGUCGGGGGCUAAGGCGAGGCCGGGAGGCGUAGCCGACGCGCAGCAGGCAGACAUUCCUGCACCGCGCACGCGGCGCUACGACCGACGGGGCGACGGAUGGGGGUGGCUCGGCGGGGUUCUGGACGUCCCCGUGAUGGAGCGCGGCCCGCGGACCAGGGAAAUCCGGUCCGCACGAGGGCGAGGCUCCGGACGAAGCGAUCAAGCGAAGCGAGUGAGCCCGAGGUCCCUAGAAAAACCCCUAGGCAGGCGCGUGCGCGCCCGUACCGCAAACCGACACAGGUGGGUGGGUAGAACAUACCGAGGCGAUCGGGUCAACCAUGGUCAAGGAACUCGGCACAAUGGCCCCGUAACUUCGGGAGAAGGGGUGCCCGCGCGUACGUGAACCGGCUUGCCCGGGGAGCGGAGGCGGGCCGCAGUGGAGAGGCCCAAGCGACUGUUUACCAAAAACACAGGACUCUGCAGAAGCCGCAAGGCGACGUAUAGGGUCUGACGCCUGCCCGGUGCCGGAAGGUCACGCGGAGGAGUUAGCCGCAAGGCGAAGCCCCGAAGCCAAGCCCCGGUAAACGGCGGCCGUAACUAUAACGGUCCUAAGGUAGCGAAAUUCCUUGUCGGGUAAGUUCCGACCUGC
rnacentral:rRNA from 1 species